rnacentral:lncRNA from 1 species
AUGCAGUUUUUAGAAGCUGAGCUGCUCGGGGCUCCAGCGUGUGGGGCCGGUGUUGUUCUGCAGGUUCCCCCGGAGCACCGAGGGGCUCCACCGGGGAGACCGCCAGGCCCACCCCCCAGCCGUCUCUCUGGGGCUCACUGCUUCCGCCUGCAGUGGGACGUCACAGGUCCAGGCCCCCAGCCUCUCUUCUCGCCGGAAGUACUCACGGACGUGAGCAGGGAGACGGCUUCUACUACCUUUUGCUUAGCUUUUCAUGAAAAUUACGUCCGGAGAAAGGAGUGUGUGGACUUGCUGCUCUGGUGUGGAGACAGCAGGUUUCGGGGGAUAAUUUAGGCCUCCUUUCCCGCCAGAACUUUCAGAAGCCAAAUCUCAGUGGCAGAGGCCCCACGCAUCAGUCACAGACCAAACUGCCUUCUUCGGGGUGAUAUUCUGUAAGCAGAACAAGGGUCUUUGUGGGGCCUUUUUUAGUGCACCAACUUAGAUAUGGGGAACUGGAAGUCAGCUCUGAGGAGCUUGGGGGUGUUGCAUACGGGCAACUCUCCAGCGAUCAGCAGGUACGCGGAGUCCCUUCGGAUCCUGCCGCGGUAUCUAAUUUCUAAGUUGGGCUUUGGACAUUACACAUCCAUCCCUCCCCCAUCUCCCCUCCCUCCCUCCCCACCCCCCUUCCUCUCCCUCCCAGUUCCCAGGGCUGGAACUUAGGGACGGAGGGUUUAGGCAGAGAUGUUGGGGGAACCUGGGUGGGGAGUGAGCUGGGACCCGACAGGGUGAGAGGCGUGAUUUCAGGUCCUUCCUCACGCAGUCCCUCCUCGGGCCCUGGGAGCAGCGUCUUCACGUGGGUAUGAGAUUUGUAUUGAACAGUAUUUUUUAAUUUUUCUUAAAGAAGCUCCCCUUAGUAAUAGAAACAUAAAGACCCUACAACCUGCCUCUGCCCCUUGUCAGGGCUAUUAAUCGAGUCCUUCGGCGAUGAGGGUUUAAAGAUGAAGAGAGACAGAGCAACAAAACAGCGAAAAUGCAAGACUAGUGUUCUGAGAUUUACUAGCUUGCCCCCACUCCUCCUUCCUUUCAGAGUGAUUACUGCUUUAAUCGUGGGUAACACUGCUUAUCAAAACUCACUGUAAAUGAGAUUAACCCAGCAGCACAGAUGCGGGUCUACACGCAAUCCUUAGGGUCUGCGAUUCCGGGAGAGACUUCACAAUUAAGUCCACUUACGAGGAGGCCGCAGGGUGAGGGCCUUCAGCCUCCCUCCCACGCUCACUUCCCAGCCUCACCCCCUCGGCCGCCUCCGUCACUCCCACUCACUGUCAUCUCUCAUUAAACAUUCCUUCCUGCGUUUCCAAAUAAAUCCAAGAUGAGGUCUGCUUUCUGUCA